GGUCACACCGCAGUCGCAUACGGUUGUUUCCAUAUGAACAAACUGUUUUUUUUUAAGCGGAGUGCGGUGCUGAGAAAUUCGUAAAGCUCCUUUUUGAAACCUUGUAUUUUAUGUAACGGCCGUGCGGUGCAACCAAUAUCCAAGCGGAAGGAGGUCCACACACUCCCCCGGCGCCGCCUGAGCGUGGUCGUCCUGCUCCGCACUUUAAGCACCGCCACCCCCACCAGCGCCCCCCAACCCGUGAAACAUUACGCGAAAAUCGAUUUCGACUGCAGGCGCAGGAAGAAACAGCAGAAAGUAUGUCCCACGGCGAUGUGGACCCAGAGUUAGAGAUGACAUCGCCCCACUGGAUGCAUAGGGAAGCUGAAAGUUGUCCAAGGAUGCACACAAUCUGGAGGCUAGAGCGCUGGCGGAGCAGCAUGCUUCUCCUAAUCGGACUGGCCUUGUGCGUCCUUCGGGCCCCUGGAUGCAGUGCCACGGACACGGACAUUGCGCUGGACGCCAAGGCCACGCUCAAUCACCGGAUCCAGAGCCUGGAUCUGCUGGUCUUCGUGUUCCUACUGGCACUCACAGUGCUCACUAUUUGGCUGUUCAAACAUCAUCGCGUCUCCUGGCUCCACGAGACCGGAUUGGCCGUCAUCUACGGCCUGAUUGUGGGAGCAAUUAUACGGUAUGCCGGCACCUCCGCCACUUUGGUUCACAUGCAGGUGGAGCCUCAAGGAGUUCCAACGUACAGCGAUAAAUUGCCGCCUGAUACACUUUGGUUUAGGUACCCUGUUAACCAAACAAAUAGCACAAAGCUACCCGAGGGAAUUAAGACAUAUGCCUACGUGUUUCGCGGACAGGUACACGAUGUGGAUGAAAAUGAAAUCGAUCUUAAGGCUACGUUCGAUCCGGAGGUCUUUUUCAAUAUCAUCCUGCCCCCAAUUAUAUUUUAUGCUGGCUAUAGUUUGAAAAAGAAAUACUUCUUUCGCAAUCUGGGUGCCAUACUUACGUUUGCCAUUGUGGGCACGACAUUGUCGGCCUUCCUGAUCGGAGGCUUCAUGUACGGCUGUGUGAAACUGAUGCCAAAUUACUUGAGUAGCAGUUUCUCAUUCCUGGACACCUUAUACUUUGGAGCCCUGAUAUCGCCCACAGAUCCGCUCACCAUUCUAGCCAUAUUUAACGAUCUUCGGGUCGACGUAAACUUAUAUGCGCUAGUCUUGGGCGAAUCUGUGCUCAACGAUGCCGUGGCCAUUGUCCUCAGUGGAGCCAUUCAAAAUUAUGGUGAACACUAUUCCGAUACUGGGGAAUUUGAAACUACAGCUUUUCUACGCUCGUUAAGCGACUUCUUCUCUAUCUUCUUACUAUCUCUGAUGAUUGGCGCGGCCAUGGGAUGCUUGACAGCAUUGAUGACCAAAUUUACUCGGGUUCGAGACUUUCCUUUACUAGAGUCCGCGCUCUUCGUGCUCAUGAGCUACAGCACCUUCCUGCUGGCUGAGGCAACAGAACUUACAGGAGUGGUGGCCGUGCUCUUCUGUGGCAUCUGCCAGGCUCACUACACGUACAACAACUUAUCGGAGGAUUCCCGCCAAAGGACAAAACAGAUAUUCGAGCUCCUGAACUUUCUGGCAGAGAACUUUAUCUUUUCCUAUAUUGGCGUAUCGAUGUUCACCUUUCCCAAGCAUCAUUUUGACGCUGGGUUUAUUAUAACAGCUUUUAUUUGCGCUGCCAUAGGAAGGGCCGUGAAUGUGUAUCCCUUGUCGUGGCUGCUGAACAUUAGGCGCAAGCCGAAGAUUUCAUCAAACUUUCAGCAUAUGCUGUUCUUUGCUGGACUUCGUGGCGCCAUGUCCUUUGCCUUGGCCAUCCGAAAUACAGUGUCGGAUGCACGACAGACUAUGCUGACUGCCACAUCGCUGAUUGUCAUCUUUACGGUUGUAAUUCAGGGUGGGGCUGCCAAUUUCCUGCUGAAUUGGUUGAAAAUACCCGUUGGCGUGGACGAUGAGACUGAACAACUAAAUAACUAUCAAGUACACAGUGUUUACAAUUCAAUGGACAAUUCACAUCCGCAGACGUCUGAUGGUUAUUUGCAGGAUGUGGAGGGCGGUGGGGUAGGUCGCGGAAAGGUGCGCUUGUCCGGUGGAACAGAUUCUAACUUGGACACGUCAGUGGACGGUCCGAAUGGCAGUUUGGGCGGAGCAAGCAGCGGUCGUCGUCGCAACAGUCACGAGAAGGCCAUUCUGGCAAGGAUCUGGGGAAACUUCGAUACCAAGUACAUGAAGCCCUUGCUGACGCACUCGCGACCCACUUUGCUGGAGACACUGCCCGUUUGCUGCAACCCCAUUGCCAGGCUGCUUACCACCACGCAGCAGCUAACGCAGGAUGGUAGCGAGUUCAGGCGCGUGGACUCGGACUCGGACAUUUGCAUAGACAAUGAUACCGGGAACGGUCUUAGCCAGGAUGCAACCGGAGCGGUUCCGGGUUCGGGUGUGGGCGUGGGGCGGCGGAACUCGCUGAGUCGCUCUGUUCAAUUGAACGAAGCCCAUCACCUAGCAAAUGAAAUCAGCCUGGUUACUAAUAAUUUCAUGUAAUCGAAAGAUCGGGCCAUCUAUCUUUGUAUUUGAUUUAUUUGUUAUUUAUAUAUACAUUUUUUUGUUCAAUUCUGUCUACUUUUCCUUGGUAAACCCACUGUUGAAACGAAGCACAGACGGAGACCCAGACAUGAUUAACUUAGAAACGAGUCAGUGAAAUUGAUAUCCGAUUAACCAAAGCUUCUUAGAGCACAGCAGUCAGGAAUGUUCGUUUAUAUUGUUCACUUUUAAUUUCUGUAUUUUUCCUCAUAAUCUAAUUUCUUAGAUUCUAACACGCGACUAACCAUGUUGGAGGCGAUCAUCGAAAUGCUUACAUAUAAGUUCAAUUAGUGUUUAGUUUUCUUUUGUUAUUUAUUGAAUUGGUCUCAUUUGAAAUCGAAAAUGUGAAAAAUGUACAAAUUAGAAUAUUACUUUUCAGUUUCUCCUUGUUUAUGAUAUGUGAUUCGGAACUCUAGUAAUCUAGUAAUAAACAUAAAUUUAAUAUCAAGCUUAUCGACUAAUUUAAAAGUUGUUGUGCAACUAUUUAAGAUCAGUAAGGGCACUAAAGUUAUCAAAAUUAUUGUUUUCUUCGAGCUGACGUACACCAUACCAUACCGUAUAACACUAUAAAUUACAUGCAUAUAUAGCCUCUUUGAUUCUAUUAUUUUUACAACUUCGUUUUUUCUAAAUACAAUAUAAAUAUAUAUACACACAAGCCAAAUUAAAUGGCAUAGCAAAAGUUUAUACGAAUACUUAUAGACAUAUUUCCCUUCUCUUGUUUAUCCGACAUGGAAAAAUGUGCUAACAUGUAUAUUGUAAUCGCCUGAAAACCACAAACCAUAUUAUAUUCAGAUGGAGAUUCUGGAGCAUGUCCAAAGUCCGGUAUCGACGAGAAUCCGGCUCUUAGGAUUUUACGGAAAAAAGUUAUAAGGCGUCAGGCAAACAUAUUACUAUUAAAUUUUUGAUGUAUUUUACACAACAUAAACUUACAGCUUUUUCGUUCUAAGCAAGUUAGUGUAAAUAUAUCGUUUUGAAAACGGACUAAUUGUAUUCGGUUUUAUUUUUAAGUUUAAAGCAGAUAUAUUUGCUAAUCUAUUAGAUUUUCCGUAUUACCUAGAACCCCAUUUCUUACUAUAUACGCUGUAUUUAAAACAAAGCGAAGCUCUCUGAAAAUAUUAAUUGUUGUGCUGUUAAUUUUUAAGUCAAAAACGAAAUAAAUAAAAAAAAUGAA
rnacentral:misc_RNA from 1 species